rnacentral:rRNA from 1 species
CACUGUCACUCCUACGGGAGCAGCAGUGGGAAUAUUGCACAAUGGGCGCAAGCCUGAUGCAGCCAUGCCGCGUGUGUGAAGAAGGCCUUCGGGUUGUAAAGCACUUUCAGUCGUGAGGAAGGCGGGUACGUUAAUAGCGUAUUCGUUUGACGUUAGCGACAGAAGAAGCACCGGCUAACUCCGUGCCAGCAGCCGCGGUAAUACGGAGGGUGCGAGCGUUAAUCGGAAUUACUGGGCGUAAAGCGCAUGCAGGUGGUUUGUUAAGUCAGAUGUGAAAGCCCCGGGGCUCAACCUCGGAAUAGCAUUUGAAACUGGCAGACUAGAGUACUGUAGAGGGGGUAGAAUUUCAGGUGUAGCGGUGAAAUGCGUAGAGAUCUGAAGGAAUACCGGUGGCGAAGGCGGCCCCCUGGACAGAUACUGACACUCAGAUGCGAAAGCGUGGGGAGCAAACAGGAUUAGAUACCCUGGUAG